CCUACGGGAGGCAGCAGUAAGGAAUAUUGGUCAAUGGACGAAAGUCUGAACCAGCCAUGCCGCGUGAAGGAUUAAGGCCCUCUGGGUUGUAAACUUCUUUUAUCUGGGACGAAAAAAGGGUAUUCUUACUCACUUGACGGUACCAGAGGAAUAAGCACCGGCUAACUCCGUGCCAGCAGCCGCGGUAAUACGGAGGGUGCAAGCGUUAUCCGGAUUUACUGGGUUUAAAGGGUGCGUAGGUGGGUUUGUAAGUCAGUGGUGAAAUCUCCGAGCUUAACUCGGAAACUGCCAUUGAUACUAUAGAUCUUGAAUUAUCUGGAGGUAAGCGGAAUAUGUCAUGUAGCGGUGAAAUGCUUAGAUAUGACAUAGAACACCAAUUGCGAAGGCAGCUUACUACGGAUAUAUUGACACUGAGGCACGAAAGCGUGGGGAUCAAACAGGAUUAGAUACCCUGGUAGUCCACGCCCUAAACGAUGGAUACUCGACAUCAGCGAUACACUGUUGGUGUNUGNGNGAAGANAUAGUAUCCACCUAGGAGUACGANCGCAGAGUAGUAACGUACGAAGAAGUUAGACGGCGUGAGAGAGACGACGGACGACGACGAGGGAGGAGG
rnacentral:rRNA from 1 species